AUUGAACGCUGGCGGCAUGCUUUACACAUGCAAGUCGAACGGCAGCGCGGGCUUCGGCCUGGCGGCGAGUGGCGAACGGGUGAGUAAUACAUCGGAACGUGCCCAGUAGUGGGGGAUAGCUCGGCGAAAGCCGGAUUAAUACCGCAUACGACCUGAGGGUGAAAGCGGGGGAUCUUCGGACCUCGCGCUAUUGGAGCGGCCGAUGGCAGAUUAGCUAGUUGGUGGGGUAAAGGCCUACCAAGGCGACGAUCUGUAGCUGGUCUGAGAGGACGACCAGCCACACUGGGACUGAGACACGGCCCAGACUCCUACGGGAGGGAGCAGUGGGGAAUUUUGGACAAUGGGCGAAAGCCUGAUCCAGCAAUGCCGCGUGUGUGAUGAAGGCCUUCGGGUUGUAAAGCACUUUUGGCGGGAACGAAAAGGACUGUGCCAAUACCACGGUUCGAUGACGGUACCCGCAGAAUAAGCACCGGCUAACUACGUG
rnacentral:rRNA from 1 species